GCCCGGGUGGUGAAACUGGUAGACACAGCGGACUUAAAAUCCGCCGCUUUCCUGAAUAAGGGGCGUACGGGUUCGAUCCCCGUUCCGGGCACCA
rnacentral:tRNA from 1 species